ensembl:lncRNA
AGUGCCUUUUACUGUUUAAUAGAAUUCUCUGAGCCAGCUGCAAGUAAUUUGCCUUUUCUUUCUUCCUGCAGCACCGUUUGGGGAGGUUUUGAAGCACAGGAGAACUCCAGUUGGAGUCCAAAGUCAGUGCUUCGGAGAGGGCAACCCUGCCCAAACAUGUGGAAGCCUUCAGGUGGAUUCCCAAGGAGUAUAUGGGAAAUAUGCUUUUUUUCUGUCACGGACUGUCAUAGAGUUUUAAGAUUGGAAAAAACCUCCAAGGUUUUUUUUCUGGCAGCUGCCCCAUAAUGGAGUUGUGCCUUCUGGGUCAGAGAUGAAAGGAGCUGGCUGUAACCCUGUGCAACUGAAACCCUUUUUCCGAAGGUACAGUAAAAUUUAGCUGUUGAAAUGCAGCUAUGCCUGCUCAGUGAAGCCUAUGAAUUAAUAUUUUUGUAGCAAAGAGAAUUCUUGGAUUCUUUGUUGCUGGACACCUUUGGUUGCUGCUGGAUUUUUGAAACAUCUAAGUAAAAAAUACUUUCUUUUCAUUUUGACCUCUUUUUUAUGAAUCAUGGAAAAACCCCCAUGAUCUGAGAUUCUGUUUGUGGGUAAGUGUAUAAUUUCCAAAGAAUUUCUUCUGAUCCGGUAGAAUCCUGUUAUAUGGGGGAAAAAUAUUGUUAAAGAUAUUUAGAGGUUUUGCAUUGAGGACUGCCAGUUUUUCUCAGACCUACCUUUAGAAGAUUGUUACUCUGCUGACAGCUCUUGGGGUCAAGUUCAUAAGUAUUUUCAAUAUUUAUGGUGCGAAAUGGCAUCACAGUGUUAAGAUAAAUUUGUCCAUCCUGAAGCAAGGCUUGGAAGUGAAAUGACAGAAAAAAUACUGGGAAGUAGAUGAGUUUUGUAUGUUUCUUGUCACCGCUCAGAUCACACCCAAAUCUGAGGGCUUUCUGAUUUUCAAGCAGAAUUUUCAGUUCUGCAAUACCCUUUUAAAAUUCCAGUUUUCAACUGAAACUCAAACUAUUAAACCAGUAUGAAAGAAUCUGUGCUAGAGAGAUUUUCAUCCAGCUUGAAACACAAUCAGUACUGGAAUGUUCCUUUGAAAAAUCUGAUCUUGCAAAACUGCUCUGUGUGUCUCCAGGCCAUUACAGUCUGGACAAUCUAAGAUGAGCAACUAAACUCCGCGGAUUUCUUACAGCUAAAUCUGACUUGCAGGGACUCACACCACAGGCAAACCUCCCAUGUUAGAGGUUUGUAGAGACAAAAAAACACGGUUCUCAGUCAUUUAAAAUAACUUCAUCUGGUUUUAAAUAUUUUGUUUUUUUCAGUUAGGAAGUCCAUUUUUUUUUCUCUAUUUUUUGGAUAGAGGAGUUUUGUGUUAUUAGUAGUAUUUGUACAUGAAUUUAACUAUUAUAAUUUUUUUGUAGAAACCACAAAAAAAUUUAUUAAUUUUAGUGAUUUCAGAAUUUUUGGAACUAUAUUCAGAAAUAUAAAACCGGUCCAUUUGUCCUGGAUUUGAGUCUCUUCCUACCAAACUAUAAGGGAGAGAAUUCUCACAGGAAGUACAGACCUGUCCAUUUUCCAGGAGAUUCAGGAGCUGUGGAUGUGUAAUCACUUUGAUCACAUCAGAGUUUGACUGCACAUUAUCAGGGAGGAAUUCCUUUUUCUCAAAAGUGACUGUCAUUUCCAGAAAGUGUCCAUUUCCCCCCAUUUUUAGGAGAAGAUUUUGAAAGGCAACAUUGUGAUAAUCCUUUUUGAUCUGCUCUCACAACUGGAGAGAGGAAAGUCCUCCAGGAAUAGGAUAUGAUAUGAUGUGUUGGCCUCUUCAUUAUGGAAUUAUCAGGAGAAGAAGAAGGAGGGCUCUUCUUCUAGUAUGUUAGGUGGUUUGUUGGGUGGGGUUUUUUGGCUUGGUUGGAGUUUUAAUUCAUUCAGGUUUUUCCUUCCUUUUUUUCCAAGACAACACGCUGGAGUUUCUGGGAAGGGGUAGCAGUGUGGAGGCAUGGCUAGCCUGAGGAAAACUGGUUCAAUUUGUCAACGUCUCCAGUCUCCCAUAGUCCUUCUGUACAGCAAAGCAUUUUAUGAUUAUAUUUACCAGUCUUUUGGGUUUUGAGGGGAACAUUCAGAAUAUCCUCUGAAUAUCCUCUGAAUAUCCUCUGAAUGAACACCAUGACUUGGAAUGUCCCAGUUUUAGGGAGGUGAGUGGUUCUGCAGGUGUGCUAGCAGGUUUUUUUUUUGUAUGCCAGCAGUCAUAACAGCAAAUCAAACCAAUUUACAUUUGAUUCUUCUCUUGCUUUGAGAUCAGAAGACGUUCCCUGAAAUGUCCCUUGAGGAGCUGCCUCCAGACAAACCAAGGAGCUUUGGUACUAAGGGUUUGUGUAGUGCUGUUGCUUGGGGAAUCCCUGCAAAACCUCACCUGGCAGGGCAGGUCCUGUUCUGAGCAUCUUGCUUGCUUGAGCCUUUCUGAAGUUCAUAGUCACAGGAACAAGAUGAAAUUGCAGUUUAUUAUGCCCACAUAAAUCUAAGAAAUGACUGAUGUAAUAGUGUCUAAUUUUUAUGCUAAUUUUUGGAAAAAUAUAUCAGAACUUUAGGAGUUCAGUUCUUGACUCUAAAUCUGAUUAACCAUUUUUCUCACUCCUUGCCACAAAGGAAUAUAGAGAACCCUGAUUAUUUAAUCUAAACUAGAUUGUUGU